GUGCUUCCAUCAGCAGCACAUACACUAAAAUUGGAGUUAACAGAGACCAGCAUGGUCCUGGCACAAGGAUGACAGGCAAAUACAGGAAGCACUCCAUGGUUUU